rnacentral:rRNA from 1 species
UACGUAGGGUGCAGGCGUUAAUCGGAAUUACUGGGCGUAAAGCGUGCGCAGGCGGUCUCUUAAGACAGGUGUGAAAUCCCCGGGCUUAACCUGGGAACUGCGCUUGUUACUGGCAAGCUUGAGUGUGGCAGAGGGGGGUGGAAUUCCACGUGUAGCAGUGAAAUGCGUAGAGAUGUGGAGGAACACCGAUGGCGAAGGCAGCCCCUGGGCUAACACUGACGCUCAUGCACGAAAGCGUGGGGAGCAAACAGGAUUAGAAACCCUGUAGU